AAGCGGAGGAAAAGAAACUAACAAGGAUUCCCCUAGUAACUGCGAGUGAAGAGGGAAAAGCUCAAAUUUAAAAUCUGGCAGUCUUUGAUUGUCCGAGUUGUAAUUUAGAGAAGUGUUACCCGCGCUGGACCGUGUAUAAGUCUCCUGGGAUGGAGCGUCAUAGAGGGUGAGAAUCCCGUCUUUGACACGGACUACCAGGGCAUUGUGGUGCGCUCUCGAAGAGUCGAGUUGUUUGGGAAUGCAGCUCUAAAUGGGUGGUAAAUUCCAUCUAAAGCUAAAUAUUGGCGAGAGACCGAUAGCGAACAAGUACCGUGAGGGAAAGAUGAAAAGAACUUUGGAAAGAGAGUUAAACAGUACGUGAAAUUGCUGAAAGGGAAACGCUUGAAGUCAGUCGCGUUGGCCAGGGAUCAGCCUUGCUUUUGUGAGGUGUACUUCCUGGUUGACGGGUCAGCAUCAGUUUCGACCACUGGAAAAAGGCUUGGGGAAUGUGGCACCCUCGGGUGUGUUAUAGCCUCUUGUUGUAUACAGUGGUUGGGACUGAGGAACUCAGCACGCCGCAAGGCCGGGAUUCGUCCACGUUCGUGCUUAGGAUGCUGGCAUAAUGGCUUUAAGCGACCCGUCU
rnacentral:rRNA from 1 species